CCUACGGGAGGCAGCAGUGGGGAAUCUUAGACAAUGGGCGCAAGCCUGAUCUAGCCAUGCCGCGUGAUCGAUGAAGGCCUUAGGGUUGUAAAGAUCUUUCAGAUGGGAAGAUAAUGACGGUACCAUCAGAAGAAGCCCCGGCUAACUCCGUGCCAGCAGCCGCGGUAAUACGGAGGGGGCUAGCGUUGUUCGGAAUUACUGGGCGUAAAGCGCACGUAGGCGGAUUGGAAAGUCAGAGGUGAAAUCCCAGGGCUCAACCUUGGAACUGCCUUUGAAACUCCCAGUCUUGAGUUCGAGAGAGGUGAGUGGAAUUCCGAGUGUAGAGGUGAAAUUCGUAGAUAUUCGGAGGAACACCAGUGGCGAAGGCGGCUCACUGGCUCGAUACUGACGCUGAGGUGCGAAAGCGUGGGGAGCAAACAGGAUUAGAUACCC
rnacentral:rRNA from 1 species